CCGCAGGUAAAAAUUAUACUUUUAUUUGAGUCACCAGGAGAAAGAUUCACUUGUGGUUCAAGUCAAAUGUUCAGAAUCAUAACAGGCCAGAAAGGUUUGAUCCCGAGCACAAGCCCACGAGGGAGGGGACCAAAACAGACCAAAAUGAGACAACAACCCCAUAUAAAAAGAUGAACUGGCGGCUUCACACACUCACACACAUACACAUACACACGGAUGAAAUGUUUGGACAGAGGCCCAUGCCCGUUCCAUCCAGAGAGAAAACCAAGAAGUCGAUCAAGGGGGAAGCCUGCCAGAGGAGGGAGCCCGCAGAAGUGGCAGAAGAAGGCUUCAGUUGGCAAAAGAAGCUGGAAGAGGGGUAGGAAUCACAAGCUGUCGCAGGUUUUAAAAAACAGAGACACUGAAGAAUGGACGGGUCACGCCCAGGACGGAUGCGAUGCCGUGGAAUGUGCUGAA
ensembl:lncRNA novel transcript, antisense to LASP1